GUUAAGGUUUGGGAAGGAUAAUGCAGAAUCAAAACAGGAGUUGUGGUUCCAAAACAAUUAACUUCGCUAAAUUCUGUCUCCCCAUUUCUGCCCCCAUAAGUUUCACAUAAGCCCCACUAUAUACUGUGUUGUUGUUGUCUUGUUUUGGAAAUCUGAACAGAACACAUGUCCUGAAUGUUCACUAAAACAUCUUGUUGCAGGUAUCCAUUUCACCUUCAUAUAGGGUUCAAUUUAAAUUUUACAAAUAACCAUGUCAGAAGAUAUGUAAUGGUCAGCAGCAAGGAGACCUGAACUGAAUUUCCCAUCUAGUAUUAAGCAUAAUGAAUGAUUUUGGCUUAGCUUACUCCACAUAGUUCUUUCUCUCCCUGAGAAAAAAGGCUGGAAUUAGUUUUUUAAAACUGAAUUGCAAGAGAGCUAUUGAAUACUGCAUCUCUUUAACCUCAUUUUUAUCUGGUUUACACUUUGUUUUUAAUCGUCAUUCAAACAAAUAUAGAGGGUACCUAAAGAGUAGACAUACAGCACUUUCUGUGUCAUUUAAUUUGUAUAUGUUUAGGCAAAUGGCAAACAAUGCACUGGGGAUAAAUAAUGUCUAGGCCAAUUAUGCAGUGUAAAAAUGAAAUCCAUAAAACAGUUAAAUAGAAAUAAGUUAUGCUGAUUGCAUCUUGAUAAAGCUUGGCUAUUAAUGUCCUUUUUGAGCCCUCUCAGGUACCAUUAAUAAUUCUGUGUCCUGAAUGAGAUAUCCACUUCCUGGAGCUUGUUAUUGGGUACAAUUCCUGUAUCACCCAGGUAGAAUAUGGACAACAACCACAUUGUUUGGAAAUUAUGAGAGCUGUAGUCCAAAAUGUGACUUUCCCAAGUUUUGUUGUUUCCCAUAUAUAAUGAUCCUUGGCACUAUUGUCUUAUGCCUCUCAAUAAUAAUUUUAGUAGAACUGAAAGACACCUCGACAAUAAUUUAGUCUAUUCUAGAGGCAAGUGGUGGCUCAUAUCUCAUUGGUGGUCAUAGUGGAGUGUCUGCAGCUCCACUUUAAGAAAAACUUUCAAAGUUGCUGAACCUACUCUGGGUAUAGGAUUCAGUACUUUGGCUAGUUCUAUUAAAGCCUGGAGUGGAUUCAUUGCUCCAUUUACAUGGAAGCCAUUAGAUGUUUAUUCAUUUACUCAAUACAGAAUCUGCAAUGGAGGAUACAAUUGCAGGAUCUGUACAAGCUAUUUAGCUUUUUCUUCAACAAGUCUCCUAAAGAGGAGUCCACAAUGUCCUGAGGAAGGCACCUGAAGGAAAAGACGGGAGGAAGGAUACUUUUUCUUCCUAAUAUUCCAAAGACAAAAGAAAAGGCAGUCCAAAGAAAUGAAAUUGAUUUCUGUGCCACCUUCCUCCCAAAUCUUGGUUUGUACGAGAUAAUUUUAAAAAGAGCUACAACCCUUCACACUAUUACAGCAUUACAUUAUAGUGUUAAAUACAAUGCUUUCUAAUAAAAAUGGACUUUUCUGAAGAAUUAAAAUUGUUUGUAAAUAAAGAAUUGAAUUAAAGCAGCUUUAACAGAUGUGAAUAAAAUGCCUCACAUCUAUCCAUUAAAAGUUCUUUUCUCAGGAGCC